GUUAGCUGUCUUUGCACAGCUUAUUUAAUGUGUUGAGUAAUUAAUUAUUCUCAAGUUCCAAGAAAUAUGUUCAUGUCUAUUUAGUAUUUUAAGAGUGUGAAUAUGAGAUGGCAGAAAGGUAAAAUGUGUUAUGAGGCCAAUGUAAUAAAUAGGUCUCUCACCACUUACAGAGUACAUACCAGGGGAGCAGUUUAGAUUUUCCUGCUUGGGCAAUUCCACAGGUUCAUCCCGUUUUUAGAAUGGAUACUUCAUAUGGAAAUAUCUAAAGUGGUGUGCAAGAUUUUUUGCAAGAACAGAUCACUUGUGAACUCUCUAACCUUAACAGACUUUCAUAUAAACUUCAGUUUAAUGGGGGUUCUCAGAUAAACUGCAGAAUCUUCUGCCUUAUUGGGAAGCACUGGCAAAUAUGCACAAAUUUAAAAUAGAGGCAACCACAGAUCACAGAACCAUAGCUUGAUCCUGGAAAUUAUUUGUCUGUGAAGGUCUUUAUAAGAUCUGGGAAAAGGGAGUUGGGGAAAGAAAAAUACUUGAGUAUUUGUAGGAUUUUUCUAAACUUCUUUUCACUCCUCUUCUCCCUCUGUCUUUGUACAUAGACCCACCCCACCUGUUUGUGCCUGGUUUUUUGAGCUUUAGGUAUAUUCCAGGAUGGCAGCGCCAGAGGAAUAACAGUCAAGUUUUUGCGUGCUAUUUGAAUUUUAUUUAAAUUGCCUUUCUUUAAACUGAAGUUCAGCUCUUUAUUUUCUCUCAUGGGGUACUUGAGACCCUCAGAUUUCAAAGGAGUCACCAUUUCAUGACAUUCUUUCCUAAUCAAGUUCUAGUGAUUAAUUUUGGUGUACUUAAUUGUCUCCAUUUUUACAGCUGAAGUAACCCAUUGGCAGUCCAAUAGCUCUAGCAAGGCCCUGUGCUAUGCAGUAGAAAGCAACUCCUGUUUUAGUAGUGUCUGGUCAUUCAUUGCAGAAGUUUAAGGGCCUAUUCUAAUUAAGGGCUUCUCAGUUGUGCAGGCUUUUUAGAGGAUAAAGUGGGUUUUCUUCUCUGUACUUGAGCAGAUCAUGCCCACACAAUGUUAUGAAAAUUAACAAUUACAUCUUUAAACUGGAUUACAUAUUGUCAAUUGUCAGCAGUGGUAAAUUGGCCAUCACAUUGACUUACCACAGUUCCAGUCUGCAACUUAACUAAUUAUAAUGAUCCAUAAAACUAAUUAUAAUGAUCCAUAAACUGUAAGAUGGGUAACCCAUGUGAAUUAGCAACUCACCUGUGAAAUCUUGGGUUUCGUUCUUUCGACCUGCUGUUUUGAUAAUGUUUCUAUGAAUAAAGUUGUUCCAUUUGAAGUAGGUCAACUUACUACAUUCCAGAGGAAAAUUUAAAUUGGAAUAAAUUGGGUGAAGUUCAGUAGCAAGUGGUAAUUCUCACUCAGGCUACAGUAACAUACCUACAAGCAGAGCAAGUAUUGCUUUAGGACAGGCUACAGUAAACACCUUUUUCUUGGUUGUAACCACAUGGGCCAGCAGGCUGUUGUGUAUCUUAGGUUGAGUUUUAUUUUAGUCACAGCAGUUGAGCCUUUCCUGAGCACAAGGCUAGUAAAAUGCAAAUUUUUUUCUCAUAUGUUAAAAAUCCUUACAAUGGCUUCAUUUUUAGAUGCUUUGAUAUCUGUCUUGGAGGCAGUCUCCUAAGUUUUGCAGGGGGAGAUGGCCUUGUGGCCAGGAUGUGCCUUCCAGUAUUGCCAAACACGUCAGUGUUGGUGGAGCCUGUGUUCUCCCUUCCUCUAAAGUCACCUCCAUGCAACAAACUGCUUCCUGGUAAAGUUUACAGGAAAUGUAUCCUCAAACUGUCAUUACCUGUUGCUGGUGACUGCCUUGUGCUGGCUGCUGCCAGGGGUGGGACACCGAGAAUAUCUGUGGUGAUUUCUGGCACCUCUUCUGGGGCGAAGCUGAAGGAAUAUCUCCUCCUCGCUAGGUGUCAUUUUUUAACCUGCAACUGUGGCAUUAGAGAACAAUCAAAUUCCCAGUGCAUUUCAUCUUCUACUGGAAUAUUUUAAUUUGCUGCUCAUGAUUGUCUUAACACAGGAGAGAUUUUAAUUAAAGUAAAUGGAUUUGUGACUGUGAAGCUGAAGAUGUAGUGGAAGAUACAGAAAAAUAAUCAUAAUUUGUGUAAAAAAAUCUCCAGCAAAAUGGCAUCUAAAAAGUCUGCGAGCUACAUAUCCCAGCUGUCUGCUCUUCAUUGUGUUUGCUACUGAUCAGUUGCACUUGAGUCUUUUCUAAAAGCCUAAGAGAAGAGCAGUCAAAGGCUAAGUAAGAAGCAAUGGAAGGAAGAUAAGAUUGUUUAUCUCAGUAUCUAAAUAUGAAAGGCAUGAGUCCUGUGAAUACUAUUCAUUGCCACUCCCAGGAGUUGCAGCUUCAGCAGCUUUCUCACGAAGGUUUGGUUCCUCCAGAGAUAAAACUGGAAAACAAGCUGUGAUGAUCGAAAGUGGCCAACACUGACUGGAACGGGGUGGAGCAGUCAUUCUCUUACUAAUGGGGUGAUACCUAUCACAAGGAAGUGAAAACCUGGAAGGAUCGGUGCCCUGAAGGAAGAAAAAUUAAAUCAGUGGAAAAGUGCUUUGGGACUGUGAAUUUCCUGUUUUUCUUUCUCCAUAUGUGACACGGCAGAAGUGUUCUUUCUCCAUGUGCUAAGGCUUUCUCCAUGUGCUUUUUAGUUACUAUAAUGUAAAAAUACCUUAAAGCAUCUUUGAAAAUUAAAGUAAUGGGGAGUAACUCGGAAAUUCAGAAUCUCAGAUCUCUGUGUAAAACCAUCAUGUUCUCUGCAUUCAGUGCACCCCUUUCUCGAGGAGGCAUUGGCAUAGUGCUCUGGCACUAAGGAGCCUCGAGGAAGUUACCCUUUGAGGAAGAAGUCAUCCUUUCUUUGUGGUUAUCCUAAAUUCACUAAACAGCCCACCUAACUGGACAUGCUGAAAUCACACAAACUGGGAGAUGAGGGUGUUUACAGCACAAUACACAUUUACAGAAUGAGUGACCUGGCCUGUUUUUUGGGGUUUUGCUUACCUAAUUCCCACUUCUUUGGAGCUCUAUUUAAUACCAGGCUUCUAGUUGAGGGCAGAGCAAUGCCCAAUUCCUGUGUAAAUUGGAUUAUUGUGUUCUGCCAGGAAAGCAUAGUUUAGAGAGCAAGAAGCUGAAGAUCUAAAUAUUCAGCCUUUCCAUCAAUAGGGAGUAGAGGAUCUUGGAUAUCUGUUCUCAGGAUGUUCUUGCAGAGUUCAUGGUGGCCAUCAAUGAAUUUGAAAGCAGAAAUGCUCCAUGGAGAAGUGUGACCAAGAACAUGCCCCAUUAAAGAACUU